rnacentral:lncRNA from 1 species
GGCAACAGAUGCAGGGUCUCUGUUGGGAGGCGACAGGGGAUGGUGGAGACUGGGGUGAACAGAGAACAGGUGCUGAUCCAUCCACCUGAAGUUGACAACAACCUCACCUUGGCUCUAGGCAGUCAUUUCCACAGUGUUCCUGGAUAAUCUCAUAUGUCAGGAGAAGCUGUAAAUUCAGAAAUCAUGGAAAACCCUGAUUUCGAGAUCGUUUCAAAUGAUCCCCCCCUGCCUUAUUUUCCACCCUGCCAGCACUGUUGGGCAGGCCCGGCCACCAGUUUGGGACCUCUGAUUUACAUGCCAGACUUUUCCCCAGUGAGGCAAAUAGGUAAAUUUAUCUAAAAAUUGCAAGGAGACCUGGCUGCUUUUCAUUAAAAAGAAGCUGUUUGCAUCUUGUUUUUAUUCGCUAACAUUUGCUUCCCAUUGUCCUGCUUCCAAUCUGAGUGGGAACCCCAGGGUUGCUAUUAUUAAUCUGUGCCUGGAUCCCAGCUUCGUGUGGCAUAAGCACUUCUGCAGUUUGCCUUGAACUCUGUAUAACGGGCUUUUUAUUUUCCUGCAGGAGUGGUUUAAAUGGAGGCUGCAGUCUUCUGCAAGGCAUAAUUGGUUUUAAAUUGUAGGUUUAAUAAUAAUGAUGUUGGGCUUAAUGGGGUGCCUUUCAGCUUCUGCCGGCAGCCCUUGGCAACCAGUCACUCAUCGAUCCGUGUACGCACUCUCCUCAGGAGGGGACAGCUGUCAGGGCGGGGCUGAGUCCCUCAGCCCAUCCUGAAAUGGGCUACAAGGAUGAGGGGCUCAAAUGCCUGCUGUAGCUGUGGCCUCUGAAGGAGAGGGAAGCCAUAGGCACCCCCUCGUGCCCCGGGUGUGGGGGCCCGAGGCUAGACUUUCAGGGCCCUUGGUUGUCUUUUUCCUCUCUUUGUCCACCUUUGGGUCACCCCACAGCUCAUUAGGAAUGCUUUGGGAAGAUGAGCAGAGGAAUUUAAAUUCCACAGUUUGGCUUCUGUGCAGAAGGUUUAAUUGAGAGGCUACAUUAACCUAAUUGGUUAUCAUCAAGCAUCUAGCUUCUUUCUAUAUUUUAAGUCACUUCUUUUCGUUUCAUUUUACCGUGGCCAAUAGAGCGUGCCUUUAAAAGAUUAAGGCUUGUACUUUGGUCUCUUUGAGUGAAAAGAGCUUUGGUUCAGAAAUCAGCCAGGAUUCCAACGAUGACUCCUUCUAGAAUGACCUGCAUGAACGUACACGCGAUAGUCACUUCUCUUAGCCUCGUUUCCAAAGCCUUGGAUGGAUGAGGAGAUCAAAUUACAUGACCACGCAUGUCCCUUCCAGUGCUUGCGACAGAUGCCUUCGGUGUUUCUGUGAAAUGACACCAAACUCCACCUUGGUUGACAUUUGGUGGGUUUCAAAAGUCAAUAAAAAUACCAAUCUACAUAUGUUAUACAACAGACUAACUGAGGCUUGGACAAGUGAGGGCUUGUUCAGCAAAAACUCAGCGUUUAUGUUAUAAAAAGCACAGAGAAGGAUGUUGGUGUCGUGUGAUGUGGGGCAUCCUGCUUGAAAAUUACAGGCAGCACAGUCAAUGACAGGGUAGCAGCACCCGCGGCCGGCUGACGAGCGCCCUUUGGAGGUUUCUCAGGGUCCGCCCUAGGGACAAAGCACAGACGUUCAGAACUGGCGGUCUAGCUCACCAUCGAUGACAAGCAGCUCCUCAUCUGUGUCGGGAUCUGAACUGCCUUGGCUUCGACCACUGUUUCUGGAUGGCUCUUUGUUUUUGUUGUAAACAGGAGCAAAUUAUAACAUGGGAAGAAUGGAAAUAGGAAGGGCGUUUUUUUGUUUCGUUUUGUCUUUUUGUCCUUUUAGGGCUGCACCCGAGGCAUAUGGAAGUUCCCAGGCUAAGGGGUCUAAUCGGAGCUGUAGCUGCCGGCCUACGCCAGGGACACAGCAACGUGGGAUCCGAGCUGCGUCUGCAACCUACACCACAGUUCAUGGCAAUGCCGGAUCCUUAACCCACUGAGCAAGGGCAGGGAUCAAACCUGCAACCUCAUGGUUCCUAGUCAUAUUUGUUAACACUGUGCCACGAUGGGAACUCCUGGACCAACGUUUUGAAGGAAGUGGUGCCCCAGAGUGUGAAGGUGGCACACAGGGAAUACCCACUUUUGUACAAAUGUCACCUGCAAAAAGCUGAUCAGACAGCUGCAUGCAGCCUCCCUUGCUCCUCUUUUGGGCACGCUUUGUUCCCGGAGGCUCCAGAUCCACGCAUCAGCAGACUUGAGCGCUGUGUCACUUUCACUUUUUUUCUUGAUCUUUAGGUGCUGUGUUGUAUUUUUUGGCAGGGAAAAAAAAAUGGACAACCGAAGUUAGGUUUUGUUCUCUCAAAGUAAACUCCUUAAAAAGGAUGAAGCUAAUGUGAAUGAUAGAUUCAGCGGAGAGGGAAACCACGUCGUUUUCCCCCGCAACCCCACUGGCCCCAGAAUCAAUUUGCCCACCUCUCUGUGAAAUGAGCUUCCAGUGGCAGAUAUUAGCAGCUAGUGAAGGCAAUCUGGCCUUUGAGAGGAGAGGAAGAGCUGGCUGGACUACGAGGCUGCUCUGAAGAGCUAGACGUGGCCACAAACAACUGCCCACGCUGACACCAAUUCUGAGAAGUAGGGUCAAAAUUUUGAGGUCUACAGAUUAGCUGCAUAAGGCUAUUGUCUUUAGAUUUCGUAGGAAGGCUGGACUACUAUGUUGCUGGCCACUAAGGUGUCAAUGGCUGUGAUUGAGACCUUCACAUGCAACCUCGGCUGUGCAGGAAUGGGACAUGGAAUAGGUUAGUUCUGAUGGGGAAAGGCAAGGACAGCACUCGCAGAAGGUGAGUUCAGGUGAAGCAUGGCAGGGAGAGGCAGCCAGGUGCCUCCAGGACCUGGCGUGUGUCUGCAUGUGCCUGUGCAGAGCUCAAGGUCAGAUGCUUGCUUACUGUUGACAGAAGAGACCUUCAGGGAUGAGGCCUGGGGUUACGAUGGGGUUAAGAAACGUUCAGAGUUUUUCUAAGGCCAGUUGCACAAAAGCUGUCAGCUCUCUGAGGGUAAGGACCAUUUCCUCUUUUCAUCAUCACAUCCCCAGCGUCUACCAACUGAUAUAACUACUCAUUACUAUUUAGCAGAUAAUUAGGUAAAAGGAAGGGGAGAGAAACUUGGGAAGACCUCACACUAGUGCUGAUCAGCAUUCCAUUGGCCCACUAGGGAUUCUGUGGCUGCCGAGGCACUGUGGCCAGGUCAGCCAUGGGGACCCUCUAGUGGGGGACCAGUACAAGAACCGACCUCCUCUGGAUGCUUGAAGCAGAAAAAAUAUUUAUUGAAAGGACGUUGGGCAGCCCACAGAGCCAGCAGGGCCUGCAGGGGGAGUCCAGGUAGACUGCGGGAAGACAGCCAGGCGGCUCACGGGGCUGGUCCGGGGACCUUGGGCUGACUCCACACCCGCAGCACAGCUGUGUAUCCCUGACAUUGUCCUGCUGCUUCUGGCCCCUCAGUGCUGCCCCCUGCAGAGAACUCCUUCGAAAGGACUCCUAGAUCCCAAGUCCAAGGGGAGAAGGGCCAGGCCUCCCCCCACUGGUGGGCUUGGGUCCUGACUGUCCCUGCAAUGGCCAGCCUGCUGGGAAGCAGGCACUGCCUUACGUAGGACAUGGGGGAGCCCCUCCUUCCAAGCCGAUGAAGUAGGGUGGCCAUGCUGGGUGGCCAAGAAAAAGACACAGUGUCCCCUGGGGGCAGGAGCCGGAAGAACCCUCAGUGUGAUGAGUAAUCCGGUUAAUUAAGCAAAUAUGAAGAAACAAAACAAAAAUAGCACUGUGUGCAUUUUAGAAUUUCACUUUGUGUCAAAUCAGGCAUGACAAGGGCCAGCAGGUUACAGUGUAUUCAGAAUAUGUUAAUGGCAGUUCCCAGGGGCUAUGACAGCUCAUUGGCUGACAUGAAUGAUGUGACAUUCUUAAGGAAAAGUCUCAAAGUGAAAGAGAAUGUCAAGGUGGCUUUGCUGUUGGUUCAGCCCCACCAGAGCAUCAGAGAGCUUUUCCAAGUCUGGGUGAGCAUGAGGUGAGCCCUGACUCUGCCCCUUUCCUCCCCAGGAGCCAUGGGCUGUGCGGGGCUGUGGUUUUCCUGGAGCCCCAUGUCACAAGGAGCCAGCCAGGCCGUCAACCCAGCCCCGCACCCUAUAAAGUGCUCUGGCUUCUGAGGGUGAAUUAACUCUUGUUUUUAUUGUGCCAUUAAUUCCAGCUCCUGCCUGUCUCCCUAAUGCAUUCCACAUGCCUGGUCCCUUCUGCCCGCAGCUGUCACUGCCCAGGCCGGGGGCUUGCUCGGCUGUCCCUUGCGGCUUGUCAGCCUGUCUGCUGGCAGUUCUGUCCACCUCCCAAGAGAGGUGCCUCCCCUCCUCCUUUCUUGGCCAUGGUAGAGUCUAGGCUUUUUGAGGGCCUGGACUUCAGGGCACUUGUAUUUAAUUUAAUUAAUUUAUUUAUUUAUUUAUGCCUUUUUAAGGGCCAUACCUGCGGUACAUGGGAGUUCCCAGGCUAGGGGUCCAUUGGAGCUGCAGCUGCCGGCCUACACCGCAGCCACAGCAACACUGGAUCCGAGCUACAUCCGUAAUCUACACCUCAGCUGGUGGCAAUGCUGGAUCCUUAACUCACUGAGCAAGGCCAGGGAUUGAACCUGCUUCCUCAUGGAUAUUAGUUGGGUUCUUAACCUGCUGGAGCCACAGAGGAAAUUCCCAAGGCACUUGUAUUUUAUACCUUUCCUGAACCUGACACUUAGCUGGGGCUCAACAAAUUCUUUUCAAAUUAGCUGAAAGGUGAAGAGGUGAACUUAUCUGACAUGUCUGGACCAGCUUUUUUAGGGGGUACCUGGUAUUAUCUGUGGAUGGCUUUUUUGGGUUGCAGAUUUUGAGGACCUUUUGUGUAAAGGUGUGAAGAGAAGGGUUGGCUACAAGGCACUGGAACAUGGCUUAAAAGGCAGAUGUUCUGCUCCCCUGAAGAUUUCAAAGGCAUGUAUGAGCAGCAGUCAACCCAACUUAACCAAUUGACAAGUAGCUGGAUGGAUGCUUGUGGGAUGGAUAGAAGAAAAGUAAACAACUUUGUAUUUUAAUAAAUUUUUUUACUUAAAAAAACAAAACAAACAAACAAAACAAAUUCUUUUCAGUCAGUGAAAGAUUCAAAGCGCCUUGGAAGGCAGGUGCCACCGCUCGGGGAGAGCAAGGGCUGGGAGUCUUCCCAGUGGAGGUGGUGGUGGGUCGGGCCACCUUUCAGCCAAGGUGCCGAGUGAUGGGACAUCCCAGAGCUUGGCAGAUGUGCGGGGCCUGGGAGGGGACAGUGGAGGAGGGCUCCGCGCUCUGAUCUGGAGGGGCAGCUCCCUGGGCAGCACGCUGUGCUUGCGUGGCUCCUGGGCUGGGGAAGGGGCAGAUGAUGGGAGGGUGACGGCCGCCCGGAGGAUGUACCACCUCACAGGUGGGCCCCAGACAGACCUGCUCGAUACAGUCCCAUAAUCGUGUCAGCUUCAAGUGGGAAAUCCUCUCAUUUUGAGUUUUCCAAAAUGUGUACUUUCGGGAGUCUUCCUUCCCUGUCUCCCUUCCUGCCUUCUUCUUUCUCUCCCUCCCUCCUUCCCUGCCUGGACUCCCUCCUCUCCUCCCUUCCUGCCCUCCCCACCCAUCCUUCCUCUCUCCCUCCCGCCUUCCCUCCCUUCCUUCCUUCCUCUUUCCCUUCCCUUUCUAACUUUCCCCUUCUAUCUUCUCUCCAAAAGCAGAAGGGCAGAAAUGGCACCCCUGGGGGAUAAAUGUGUCCAUUUCAGAAUUUGCCCAUUUCCUCCUGAAGUAUGGAAAGCCUACAGUCUCUGCCUUAAAAACGAAAUGCUAGAGGAGUUCCCGUCAUGGCUCAGUGGUUAAGGAACCCGACUGGUAUCCAUGAGGAUGCGGGUUCGAUCCCGGGCCUCACUCAGUGGGUUAAGGAUCUGGCUUCGCCGUGAGCUGUGGUGUAGGUCACAGACCCGGCUCAGAUCUGGUGUUGCUGUGGCUGUGAUGUAGGCUGGCAGCUGUAGCUCUGAUCUGACCGCUAGCCUGGGAACUUCCAUAUGCUGUGAGGGCGGCCGUAAAAAGACAGGGAAAAAAAAAAAGCCAGAGUGUCAGGGCAAGAGCUCCACUCUUCCUUAACCGCCUCCCACCCCUCCCUCCUCUCGCUCCCCACGGGUUCUCUCAUUACAGUCUGUUCCUGGUCCUGCCUGACUGUUCCCCACGUCUUCCUCCUCCUCCACCUCAGUUUCCAGCAGGUUCUCACCCUCUCUGAGCCAUUAGCUUUGCCCCAGUUCUAACCCCGUUAGCAAGACUCUUACAAGCCGUGAUCAGCGAACCCCCACGCCAGAACUAAUCAUCAGCCCCCACCUCCCUUUGUCUGUGCCCACCCACUCCCCCACCUUCUUACUCUACCGUCUCCAUUGUUGUUAUUCCUGGAUGCCUGGGAGGGAACAGCGUGAGCUAGCUGCUGCAGAGUCAACAUGUAUUGGGACCACCCUACUCACAGCCACAGUUUUAAAAAGGAUGCAUU